GGCCGGUCCAGCCUGGGCCCGGCUCCUGUGCCCAUGUGUCCUCAGCCCCCAGGAGUCCUGCCUCCCCUUCGGUCCCCACCCCAAAGAGAGCUGAGUUGGCUGCUGAAAAUGAGGUUAAGAAACGCAGCUCAAGAAAAUUUUCCCACCAGAAUUCUUUCACCUGUUGUAGAAAUUUGAGCACCUUCCUCUCUUUCUGAAGUCUCCCCCAAAUCCUAAUGCUCCUGUCCAGCCAGGAAAUCACCUUCCUUAGCACCUGUAAGCCAGGGAUUGAAUCCAGGCCUCAUGCAUGCUCGACAAGCGCUCCACCACUAAGGCCCCCAGAAGGGUUAAGGUUAUCUCAAGAUCUUGGAGAUUGAUGGGGUGCGGUGGUGCAGGCCUGUAAUCCCAGCGACUCAGGAGGCUGAGGCAGGAGGAUCUGGAGUUCAAAGCCAACCUCAGCAACAGCGAGGCACUAAGCAACUCAGUGAGACCCUGUCUCUAAAUAAAGUACAAAAUAGGGCUAAGGAUGUGGCUCAGUGGUCGAGUGCCCAUGAGUUCAGUCCCUGGCACCUACCUCCACUGCCCCCCCAAAAAAAGAUCUUGGGGAUUGUUUUUCAGCUGACAUACAUGAUACUGUAAUCAUGUUAAAAUU